UUUGGAAAAAUAACAUCCGUACAAUCUAAUGAUAGUGGAUUUUCAGCAUCAAUCGAGAAAGACGUGUUCGAAGGCUUUUAUUAUGAUUAUUCUGAAGAGAAAGAGCAACAAAGAAAUCACGAAGAGCUACGGAACAGAAUCAGCACGGAAUUGACAGAUCAACCCUUUCCAGAUUUUCAAGAUGCAUACAGUACAAAGCUUUAAAAUACAUAUCUGUGUUGAAAAAGACU